rnacentral:rRNA from 1 species
AACUAACGCUGGCGGCGUGCCUAAUACAUGCAAGUCGAACGGGGAAGUGUAGCAAUACAUUGUACUAGUGGCGCACGGGUGAGUAAUACAUAGAUAAUCUACCCUUCAGUGGGGAAUAACCAGUCGAAAGAUUGGCUAAUACCGCAUGAGACCACAGGAACUUCGGUUCUAGGGGUUAAAGUCGAAAGACGCUGAUUGAUGAGUCUAUGCAAGAUUAGCUUGUUGGUAGGGUAAAAGCCUACCAAGGCGAUGAUCUUUAGCUGGUCUGGGAGGAUGAUCAGCCACACUGGAAAUGAGACACGGUCCAGACUCCUACGGGAGGCAGCAGUAGGGAAUAUUGCACAAUGGGGGAAACCCUGAUGCAGCAACGCCGCGUGAGUGAUGAAGGCCUUCGGGUCGUAAAGCUCUGUCGCAAGGGAUGAUAAUGACAGUACCGGGAGAAUAAGCUCCGGCUAACUCCGUGCCAGCCGCCGCCGUAA